CCUACGGGAGGCAGCAGCAAGGAAUUUUGCGCAAUGGGCGAAAGCCUGACGCAGCAACGCCGCGUGGGUGAAGAAGGCCUUCGGGUCGUAAAGCCCUUUUGUUAGGGAAGAAGUUCUGACGGUACCUGACGAAUAAGCCUCGGCUAACUACGUGCCAGCAGCCGCGGUAAUACGUAGGAGGCGAGCGUUAUCCGGAUUUAUUGGGCGUAAAGAGCGCGUAGGCGGCCUAUUAAGUCGGUUGUAAAAUCUCCCGGCUCAACUGGGAGGGGUCAUCCGAAACUGGUAGGCUUGAGGACAGCAGAGGGAGAUGGAAUUCCCGGUGUAGUGGUGAAAUGCGUAGAUAUCGGGAGGAACACCAGUGGCGAAGGCGGCAUCCUGGCCAUGUCCUGACGCUCAGGGGCGAAAGCGUGGGGAGCAAACCGGAUUAGAUACCCGGGUAGUCCACGCCGUAAACGAUGAGUACUAGGUGUGGGGGGUAUCGACCCCCUCCGUGCCGAAGCCAACGCGAUAAGUACUCCGCCUGGGGACUACGGCCGCAAGGCUAAAACUCAAAGGAAUUGACGG
rnacentral:rRNA from 1 species